rnacentral:sRNA from 1 species
UCGUCGAGGAGUUGCGGGCAGAUGAGGUGGACGUGCGAGUCGACGGCCCCGGCGGUGAGGAUCUUGCCGUUGCCGGACAGGAUCUCGGUGGACGGGCCGAUGACGAUGUCCACGCCGUCCAUCGUGUCGGGGUUGCCGGCCUUGCCGAUGGCGGCGACGCGGCCGUCUCGGACGGCGACGUCGGCCUUGAUCACGCCCCAGUGGUCGAGAAUCACAGCGCCGGUGAUGACGAGGUCGGCGGCGCCGUCGGCGCGGGUGGUGCGGGCCUGGCCCAUCGACUCGCGG